rnacentral:rRNA from 1 species
UACAGAGGGGGCAAGCGUUAUUCGGAAUUAUUGGGCGUAAAGGGCGCGUAGGCGGCUUUGCAAGUGACGGGUGAAAUCCCUCGGCUUAACCGAGGAACUGCCUGUCAAACUGCAUGGCUUGAGACCAGGAGAGGUGAGUGGAAUUCCCAGUGUAGCGGUGAAAUGCGUAGAUAUUGGGAGGAACACCGGUGGCGAAGGCGGCAUCCUGGACCGGUAUUGACGCUGAGGCGCGAAAGCCAGGGGAGCAAACGGG